GGUGGCACAAGCAACGUUACUUUCCGAGCAUCGCGGAAGCCGAGAGUAAGCUGCGAUCGAGUCGACAAGGUUCCGGAAGCGACACAUCCGGAAGCCCUUGCGGCGAAUGCGCCGGGCCUAGUUAUAGAGUGCCAGUAAAGCCUUGUAGAGAUGUAUUUUCGCGAGGUGUCGAAUCGAGUACGGAAUCUAACAACGAAGGCUCGCCCUCACUCGCGAGACGACGAAGCCGACAGCCGAGCCGGUCUACUCGCAGGUAGCCAAGUUCGGUAGAGGAUAUGACGCUAUUGCCGCCAAGCGGGUUCAGUGACAGUCGCGAAUUGAGCGACGUGGAGUGCGACCGUGAUCGUGAUCGCGAACGCGAUCGCGAAUGGCAAGGUUUAUCAGCCGGAACUCGUCACGGCGGCAGUUUGGGCAGACUUCCGAUCGAGGCCGUCGAAUCUAUGCUCGCUAGAUAUCAGCAAAGAAAGGAGCAAGAAAGACAAGAAUUCACUAUACAUGUAUGAUCGAGAUUCGCUGGUUCGACUUGGUAUCUUCGCCGGACGAUUUAACAUUAUUUAUAAAGAGACGACAAAUCUUAUUCUCAAAACCAUCCGUUGCCGUUGAGGGAAAUUUUAAUGUGAAGGACAAUUCAAUUUUGAAUGGAGAUGAAUGAGUGAUGGAAGAAGAGACUCUCAGGUCCAUUUGUGUCGAAGAGGCGUCUCGAUAAUUGAUCUGCGUUGCGCCAAAUACUGCCGUUAUUAUACACAAAAUAUGGCCUUCGUAUAUAACCCUGUAUGUGCCACGUAUGAUAUUGUGUAACGUCGAAUUUCGAGAGAAAAAAAACACCAAAUCCUAUCGGCGAUAUACACAAUUAAGCAAUCAAGAAGUAACGGAAGCAUUGAUGAUUAACUGUACGUUUUUUGAUAGCAUUUAUUCUUUCUAUCACCGAAUUACAAUUACACUGUCUUACCGUAUGAAACGUAAUUAUGAUAAAAAAAAAAGUCUGAUUGACCGAUCCAUUGCUUUCGCGACGACCAAUUACAGAUAUACAGGGUGAACGCCAACUUUCAUACGAGUACCUCCGCUUCACUAGUGCGAUCUAUCUAUUAACGAGCUAUUCUAUGUAUGAUUAUAGGAAUGACAGAUUAUAUUCGCGUAAUGAGUAUUGUGUUUUAAAAGAUUUUAAUAAAAACACUGCAACGGUCGCAGCGUUACACGUUAUCCCCAUAAGAAAUAGGUCAAUUAAUUCGAAGCUAAUAAUAGGCAUUUAUUCGAAACGAAAUUUAAUAAUUUUGGGGCAAUCAAAAAUUGAUUCUCAAAUUCCUUUUGGUUUGAAAUACACGAAAGUGCUGCGAUUCGAUCUCACUCCAUGCAAUUCAAUUAUGAAACCGGCUUUCCACUUUUCGAAUAGUGCCAACUUUAUUAGAAAUAUAUAGUAUUAAGAACAUCGUGAAAAAAAAACGAAAACUUGAGAAGAUAGAGAGGGGUUACGUGUACUCCUUUCUCUGUCCUAACUGAACGUAAUUGUGCGCUAUAACACAUAGUAUUUACGAAUCGAUUAUCCGAAUAAGAAGCGGCUAGCGCCUUAACUAUGUAAAUAAUUGCUCUUUGAGAAACGACAUUUAUCGAUGUGAUCGUAAAAUACGCUAACGAUUAUAAAAUACCAUGUGCACCACGUGCAGAGGGUCGUAGUGUGUCCGCAGACAAAAUCGAGAAUCGUGUAGCAUAUAGAGCGAUUGAGAAAAUUAGCUUCUCGUCGGAAAUUCGGUUUCUUUUCAAAGAUCUCUCCCGUAACGUGAGACUGAUUGUUAAUUGAGUACGCUUACAAUGAUUUCUGCCAAGAAGAGUAAAGGCACAGUGAAGCACAGAGCUUUGCAUAAUACAUACAGCAUAAAAGAAUCAACCAAUCAGAAUCUUUCAUUUCAUUAAAAAAAAACUCUGAUUAAUCGAUUCUCUUAUGCAUUAUGCAAAGGUCUGUACUUCGUUCUUAAGAGUCUAUCCAGGCAAAUUUACAUAGCAUAAAUGUAUACAUAAAAAACAUCCAAUCGCAUUUUACAUGCGUCUUUACAAUAGAAAUAUGAUUGGAUAUUUUUCCUUUAUGUAUAUGUUUAUGCAGCUAGACAAAUUUAUUUGUUCUGGAUAGAUCCUAAAGGCAGAAUUUUAAAGCACAGAUUUUUAUAUAACGCAUAACACACAAGGCAUAAGAAAAUCAAUCAAUCUUUUGUUUAGAAUCUUUUAUUUCGUGAAAAGGAACAAAAUGAAGGAUUUUGAUUGGUUCAUUUUUUUAUACUUUAUACAUUAUACAUUAUCUAUGCGUUAUACAAGAUUCUAUGCUCCCACCCUAAACAAUUAAUCGUUCUGAUCGAGCGACACUUCCGAUCACGCCGGAAAAAAAAGCGAAGAAACCAUGCGACGCGCGAACGUUCUUUUUCCCUUUAGUUUAAUAAAAGAGAGACAAAGACUUGCUUAGAAUUAUUCUUGCAGUUAUUUUUAAGACAGUUGAGACUAAUUGUAAGUCUCGUAAAAAUCUGAAGAAAAUUCAUGACAUACGUCUCUUGUUACUUUAUAAACGAGUUAUCGCGUAGAUGUAACAUGUAUAUAAAUGAGCUGACCAGAAGAGAUGAUUUCUUGAGAUUUGCGCGUAAGCGAAAUUCGCGCUCAUCUCGGAAGAUAAAGUUUAUGCGGAAUAUAUCGGAGUAUAUCGAUCGAUAUCAUAACAUCAUCCUAUAAAAGAUGGAUGAAUUGAGGAGAUUCAUUCUAUAUCGGGACCUUCAGUUUCCGAAGUUGGUACAUACACCCACAAAAAAA